AAAGAAAUAAACACCCCUAAAUUGAGAACCAAACAGGAAGAAGCAGCUGGCAGGACUGUGGAAAGUUUUGUAAUUCUGGCAAAGGUGAGGCAAGCCAAGGACACAGCAGGAGUCUGACAGAGCAAAAUUAAAAUUCCAAUGAAGUCUGAAUCACAUCCAAGAGUCCUAGGUGCGGGACAACUGAGUGUUUUGAUAGUACCGCUAUGUUGGGGCGCGCUGUGUGAGAGCUUGGUUUACAUGAAAAUCAAGAGAGAGAGAUAGCGCAGUCCACGAUUUGGUCUGUGGAGGCACUUGGGGAUUUUACCGUGAUAUAACUGGCUGGGUAGAGAAACAAGGAUUAGGAACAGAACGUCAAGCGGAGCCCGGGCUCAGGAGCAGAGACUCGCACACUUAGAUGCUCACACAGUGGUGGGCUGCUGUAAGCAUGUCGGCUUCGACGCACAGAGGGUCCAGGUCUGGGCCUAAGGGUGGGUCUGCCCUUGUAUGCGGCUCCCACAAGGAGGCCCCAGGUUGCUGCAGCUGCUUCCAGCAGCACCUGGUUCUGAGAUUCUCACGGUUUGGCUUCCCUCCCACCCCACCCAAGCACAGAGUCCUAUGACAGUUAGGCCUGUGUUGGAACGCUUGAGUGUUUGGCGUGUGGAGGUCAGAAGAAGGUAUCAGACCCUCUGGAACUGGACUACAGGACCUGGAUACUCGGCAAGAGCAACAAGUCCUCUUAACUGUUGCGCCAACUCUCUAGCCCUGUGACUCUUGAUCAUGUGCUUACAGAAAUGUUUUCACUCAACUCACCAGAUGGCGUUUCCUUUCAUUCCUUGGAGGAGCCUAUCUCACUUCAAAUUGUGAACAACAACAAUGAAAAUAAACGGUUGUAGUUUUCACUUUCCUCUUCA